AGUUGGGUUCAUACCCAGCUCCUAUAGUUACCAACAUUUUUCUUUGAGAUGGAGAAACUGAAUUUCCUUAACAGUAACGUGGAGAAAAAUAUGAACCAUAUAGUUGGGUGGUUGAAAGAAUGAUGGAUAUUAUAUGUGUCUUCACAUGUGAACAUAUGUUUUAGGAACAAAAGACUAUUCAAUAAGGAAAAAAUGAUGAGGACCAAAAUCAAUGAAUAAGGAAAACAGCUCAGAAAAAAGAUGUUUCCAAAUUGGGACCUGUUGCUUUCUAUUUCUGUGUGACUCGUUCAUUCAUCCAGGCAUUCAUUGACAAUUUAUUGAGUACUUAUAUCUGCCAGACACCAGAGACAAAAUGGUGAGCAAAGCAGUCACUGCCCUACCUUCGUGGAGGUGACAGUUUCUCAUGGAAGACGUGCAGAAGAAAAUUAAUAGCCAGCCAACUUAAACCCAGUGCUGAAAGAAAGGAAAUAAACACCAUCUUGAAGAAUUGUGCGCAGCAUCCCUUAACAAGGCCACCUCCCUAGCGCCCCCUGCUGCCUCCAUCGUGCCCGGAGGCCCCCAAG
rnacentral:lncRNA from 1 species